AGUGAACGUUGGCGGCGUGGAUUAGGCAUGCAAGUCGAGCGAUCGUAGCAAUACGGGAGCGGCAAACGGGGUAGGAAUACAUCGGAACGUACCUUUUGGUUGAGAAUAGCGUUGGGAAACUGACGGUAAUACUCAAUAAAGUCGAGAGACCAAAGGUUUACUGCCGGAAGAGCGGCCGAUGCGAUAUUAGGUAGUUGGUGGGGUAAUGGCCUACCAAGCCUGAGAUGUCUAGGGGGUGUGAGAGCAUGGCCCCCACCACUGGGACUGAGAUACUGCCCAGACACCUACGGGUGGCUGCAGUCGAGGAUCUUCGUCAAUGGGCGAAAGCCUGAACGAGCGACGCCGCGUGCGGGAUGAAGGCCCUUGGGGUUGUAAACCGGCUGUCAGGGGGAUGAACCGUAAGGUUGACAGAGCCCCAGAGGAAGCACGGGCUAAGUUCGUGCCAGCAGCCGCGGU
rnacentral:rRNA from 1 species